CCUACGGGGGGCAGCAGUGAGGAAUAUUGGUCAAUGGACGGAAGCCUGAACCAGCCAAGUAGCGUGCAGGAUGACGGCCCUACGGGUUGUAAACUGCUUUUAUGCGGGGAUAAACCGCCUUACGUGUAGGGCUUUGCAUGUACCGUAUGAAUAAGGACCGGCUAAUUCCGUGCCAGCAGCCGCGGUAAUACGGAAGGUCCGGGCGUUAUCCGGAUUUAUUGGGUUUAAAGGGAGCGUAGGCCGCACGUCAAGCGUGCUGUGAAAUGCCCGGGCUCAACCCGGGCCGUGCAGCGCGAACUGGCGUGCUUGAGUCCGCGGAAAGCAGGCGGAAUUCGUGGUGUAGCGGUGAAAUGCUUAGAUAUGACGAAGAACUCCGAUUGCGAAGGCAGCCUGCCGCAGCGGAACUGACGCUGAUGCUCGAAAGCGCGGGUAUCGAACAGGAUUAGAUACCCCUGUAGUC
rnacentral:rRNA from 1 species